AUUGAACGCUGGCGGCAGGCCUAACACAUGCAAGUCGAACGGUAACAGGAAGCAGCUUGCUGCUUUGCUGACGAGUGGCGGACGGGUGAGUAAUGUCUGGGAAACUGCCUGAUGGAGGGGGAUAACUACUGGAAACGGUAGCUAAUACCGCAUAACGUCGCAAGACCAAAGAGGGGGACCUUCGGGCCUCUUGCCAUCGGAUGUGCCCAGAUGGGAUUAGCUAGUAGGUGGGGUAACGGCUCACCUAGGCGACGAUCCCUAGCUGGUCUGAGAGGAUGACCAGCCACACUGGAACUGAGACACGGUCCAGACUCCUACGGGAGGCAGCAGUGGGGAAUAUUGCACAAUGGGCGCAAGCCUGAUGCAGCCAUGCCGCGUGUAUGAAGAAGGCCUUCGGGUUGUAAAGUACUUUCAGCGGGGAGGAAGGGAGUAAAGUUAAUACCUUUGCUCAUUGACGUUACCCGCAGAAGAAGCACGGGCUAACUCCGUG
rnacentral:rRNA from 1 species